ACGAACGCUGGCGGCAGGCUUAACACAUGCAAGUCGAACGCCCUCGCAAGGGGGAGUGGCAGACGGGUGAGUAACACGUGGGAACAUACCCUUUGGUUCGGAACAACGCCGGGAAACUGGCGCUAAUACCGGAUACGCCCUUUUGGGGAAAGGCUUGCUGCCGAAGGAUUGGCCCGCGUUCGAUUAGCUUGUUGGUGAGGUAACGGCUCACCAAGGCGACGAUCGAUAGCUGGUCUGAGAGGAUGGCCAGCCACAUUGGGACUGAGACACGGCCCAAACUCCUACGGGAGGCAGCAGUGGGGAAUAUUGGACAAUGGGCGCAAGCCUGAUCCAGCCAUGCCGCGUGAGUGAUGACGGCCUUAGGGUUGUAAAGCUCUUUCGCACGCGACGAUAAUGACGGUAGCGUGAGAAGAAGCCCCGGCUAACUUCGU
rnacentral:rRNA from 1 species